rnacentral:rRNA from 1 species
UACAGGGGGUGCAAACGUUGCUCGGAAUUAUUGGGCGUAAAGCGCGCGUAGGCGGCUACUUAAGUCGGAUGUGAAAGCCCUUGGCUCAACUGAGGAAGUGCACCCGAAACUGAGUGGCUAGAGUACGAAAGAGGGUCGCGGAAUUCCCGGUGUAGAGGUGAAAUUCGUAGAUAUUGGGAAGAACACCGGUGGCGAAGGCGGCGAGCUGGCCUGUUACUGACGCUGAGGCGCGACAGCGUGGGGAGCAAACAGG